rnacentral:rRNA from 1 species
CCUACGGGGAGCUGCAGUCGAGAAUCAUUCACAAUGGGGGAAACCCUGAUGGUGCGACGCCGCGUGGGGGAAUGAAGGUCUUCGGAUUGUAAACCGCUGUUAUGUGGGAGCAAAUUAAAAAGAUAGUACCACAAGAGGAAGAGACUACUAACUCUGUGCCAGCAGCCGCGGUAAUACAGAGGUCUCAAGCGUUGUUCGGAAUCACUGGGCGUAAAGCGUGCGUAGGCUGUUUCGGAAGUCGUGGGUGAAAGGCGCGGGCUCAACCCGCGGACGGCACAUGAUACUGCGAGACUAGAGUAAUGGUGGGGGAACCGGAAUUCUCGGUGUAGCAGUGAAAUGCGUAGAGAUC